rnacentral:rRNA from 1 species
CAGAGGGUGCAAACGUUGCUCGGAAUUACUGGGCGUAAAGCGCGUGUAGGCGGACCGGAAAGUCGGGCGUGAAAUCCCUGGGCUCAACCCAGGAACUGCACUCGAAACUUCCGGCCUUGAGUGGUGGAGAGGGUAGUGGAAUUCCUGGUGUAGAGGUGAAAUUCGUAGAUAUCAGGAGGAACACCGGUGGCGAAGGCGGCUACCUGGACACUAACUGACGCUGAGACGCGAAAGCGUGGGGAGCAAACAGGAUUAGAUACCCUGGUAGUCCACGCUGUAAACGAUGGGCACUAGGUGUCGCGGGUAUUGACCCCUGCGGUGCCGUAGCAAACGCGUUAAGUGCCCCGCCUGGGGAGUACGGCCGCAAGGCUA